UCCUAAUAGUGCUACCCCAAGAAAAGUUACCCUAGUCUUCAGUACCCAACUUAGAAACACUGAAUCCCUUCCUUCUGGGUUCAAAAGAAAGAACGUCAAAGGUCAACGGCGUUCCCAAGUUGGGCUUUGCACAGGUAGCAGAGGAGCAUUUCUUUUCUCCAGUUUAUGGAAACACUUAUUUGCUUGCGUAGCGUAUGGUUUCUUCCACGAGCUGAAAAUUGAAACCACCUGUAGCUUGGAGCGAGGCAAGGCAGAGAGGCAAAUGAUUUCAACAUGUCUUUUCAGGCGGAGUGAACCGUGGGUCCCUUCUGCGGUUUCAGACACGAGCGCUGCUCCAAGUUCAGGGUCAGAUUGGCAGCAUGAGUUGGUUGGGAACUGUGGUUGAGAACGAGGAGAGUCAGACCGGGAGGCCACCCCAGGCAGAAAGCAACUUCAAGGGGACAAUGGCAGGUUUUUAAAAAACAGACCUCGCACCCUCCCUCUGGAACACGCUCGCUCGGGGUGGUUGGAGCUCGAGCUCGUUUCGGAAAAUGUAAGAGAAAAGACGGUGGAGACGUUUCCACCAAAAAAGAUCGAUUGUGGGGAGCCUUGGCGCGCAGUCCCGCGUGUGAGUGGAAAGGACAGCGACGUGGCGAACUUGGCAGACACACUCAUGGAAUGAAGGGCAAGUGCGUCUGACCAGUGCCGCAUGAAGAACGAGGAACUUAGAAACUGUGGCUGCAUUUUAUUUUGAAAUAUUAUUUCUACCUCCUUCUGCAUAAGUAGAAGAGCCAGGGCCCAGAGGUCUUGCUCUGUCGUCCAGGCUGGCCCUGAAUUCCAGAUCCUCCUUCCUCAACCUCUGAAGAUCCAACACACCCAGCUCAAAGUAUAUUAAUUAGAAAUGCAUAGGCAGCAACUUCAUCAGUCAUCAAGAUUUCAUUGUGAGUUACUGCAUGAUUUCAUAGGAGACAACAAUUUAAUUUAACUUUGAAUUAAAGUAAUAUUAUAUAAGAGACACCCAAAAUCAAAGUUAUAUUUGUUUCUCCCGGGUUGUUGCUAUGCAGAAGAUCAGGUAUAAUUAUCUAGGAAUUAAGUUGAUGGCAUAAAUCUUUUUUUUUUUUUUUUUGGUACUGGGGAUUGAAUGGCAUAAAUCUUUAUGAAAAGAAAAAUCAGAUUAUUUUAUAGAUACUUGAUAUCUAACUUGUUCAUUAUA
ensembl:lncRNA